rnacentral:lncRNA from 1 species
UCAUAUUAUAUGUAUUUAUGUGAUCAUCAUAUGGAUUCACAGAAGACAUAAAUACAAGUUAUCUUAUAAUUAAAUAAAUUAAGUUCACAGUUGAUAAAUAGAGUUGGGCGCUCUAUUUAUGUUUAGACUGAAGUAAAUUCAUUGAAUGAUUUGUCUUAAUCAUGUAUGAAUUUACUGAUGUAGUUUGACUACAUUGAGCUGGAUUACAUAUGAGAUUUAAUUAAUCUUAAAAUGACUAUCGGACUUAUUAAAUCUCAUAGGCAUUGAUUUUACUAUAAUCUUAAUCUUGAGUUAGUUAUAAUUUCAUGAUUGUAAUUAUUAUUCCAUUUGAGUUACCAAUGGGCACGAUACACAAUUAUGGUCAAGAUUACCCGGUAUCUUGGUGGGAGCAAUUAUUAUGAGUAUUGGAGUUAUAGAUUAACAAUAUAGAAUUUGUACAACACAUCUUUUGAUGGAUUUUCGGCACUUGAUCAUGGAAUUCUCUGGCCAGAGUAUGUCAACAUAUUUAGUAUGUUAAAAAUUAUCAUUAGAGAAAAUCAGUAAGUUUCAAGGAAUAAGAUGUAAUUAAAUCGAUUGAACAAUUGAGAUAUCGAUUUAAUUAACGAUGUGGUACAAAGAAUUAUGCAGUAAAGAAAUCGAUGUGGCUUGGGACGAAUUAUUAUUCGAGCAUACAAUUAUGGAGGUCAGUUCCAAUCUUUUAGUGGAGUAGAUUUGGAAUUAAAUAAUUGGGCUAGUUUAAUUACAGACCUAAUUAUUGUAACCAUUAUUGUAUGUUCCCAAAUGCACCGGGUUAGCUCAUUUAAUUGACUGCGCCACUACUGGAUUAAUAAGUAAGAUAACUAGCUAUUUGGGUUAAAAGCCUAAAUAUAUUAUUUAGUGGGAGACUUCAUGUAAUGUACUUGUGUCUAAGGGGUCUUGUGUUAUUUUACAAGGUGGGCCCCUAUGAUAAGAAAGAAGUAAUAUUACUUUUGGUUUAUUAUUUUUAAUUUAAAUCA